GACGAACGCUGGCGGCGUGCCUAAUACAUGCAAGUCGAGCGGACAGAAGGGAGCUUGCUCCCGGAAGUUAGCGGCGGACGGGUGAGUAACACGUGGGCAACCUACCCUGUAGAUCGGGAUAACAUCGAGAAAUCGGUGCUAAUACCGGAUAAUCAUUUGAAGUGCAUGCUUCGAAUGUAAAAGAUGGCUCCGGCUAUCACUACGGGAUGGGCCCGCGGCGCAUUAGCUAGUUGGUAAGGUAAUGGCUUACCAAGGCAACGAUGCGUAGCCGACCUGGGAGGGUGAUCGGCCACGCAGGGACUGAGACACGGCCCAGAAUCCGACGGGAGGCAGCAGUAGGGAAUCUUCCGCAAUGGACGAAAGUCUGACGGAGCAACGCCGCGUGAGUGAUGAAGGUUUUCGGAUCGUAAAGCUCUGUUGUUAGGGAAGAACAAGUGCCGUUUGAAUAAGGCGGCACCUUGACGGUACCUAACCAGAAAGCCACGGCUAACUACGUGCCAGCCGCCGCCGUAACAC
rnacentral:rRNA from 1 species